rnacentral:lncRNA from 1 species
GGCAGGGAUGGCAGCGGGGGCAAUGUGGGCUUCGGCAGAGUUGGGACACUUGGCAACGGGGUAGUGGGCAGCGUAGGCAUUGCUGGCAAAGGAGGCAAAGUGGGCUUAGGAAGAGAUGGAAUUUGAGGUAGUGUUAAUGCUGGUGGUGGAGCUGCUGGUGUGUCCAGAAGGUGACGACCUGCCAGGGUCACAUCCAUGCUCAACAGUGACAAUGCUAAAACCAGAGACACAGUAAUACAAUGCAUAGCCAUGGUUUAAAAAGAUAAAAGGUUUGUGGAGCUACUUUCCUUGGAUGUGAGAAAAUUUCAACUUUGUUCUGGAUGCAGAACAGCAAAGUAUGGACGAGUAUUUAUAGAUAAACUUUUGAAGGAUUUCUGAGUGUGGUUUGAAGAAGCAAUAGGAGUUUGAUAAGAUGUGGUUGAGAGAAAUAUGGAAAAGAAGUGGUUAGUUCACCUCCCCUACUUGUGUUACUUCAAAUUCAAAAGAAAACCAACCAAAAGGGUCGGCAAACUGACGCAAACCUGAGCUAACUUCUGUAUACUGCUAGAAUUGUUCAGUUUGUUGUUUGAGAUUCGAGUCUUUUUGACCCAUGGGUAAUAAUCUUUUAAAAUUUUGAAAUGGAUUUAUUCACAGUAGAAUCUAUAGAUCAUACUAAAGCGGCUUGAGGUUUUGCUGAAUGGUCUUGCCUUUCAUUACAUAGAAGAGUGACCAUAUGCUUGUACUCGUGAUAUGCAUAUACAGAGAAGUAUGUGAUGUGCAAUUCCCUAAUUACAACCUAAAAUCAUGGGAAUUAAUUUAAAAUAAUUAUAAUUCAAAAAUAUUUUCCAAAAGAGAUGAGAAUCAUAGUACGGAGGGAUUAUGUUCUUUCAUACCCGCACAAGAUUGUGGUUUCAUUGUGAACUCCAAUCUUGUACCAUUGGCGAAUAAAUGACUAACGAGAGAAAGGAUUUAUAACAAAUCUGCAAGUUAAUUAGCAGGAUGGCCAUGAGACUCAAAGUUGUUAUUUGGACACUUGGCUACAAACAAAAUGGAAGUCGAUAGUGAUGAGCUUCUUUCAGGAAUGGAAGAUGCGAUUGUCGCAAAGUAUUUAGUCGCUACAUUAUCAUAGUAGAUAACUGGUGUAGCUGGCAAUGGUGCAUGAAACUCUCGUAACAAGUUUUGAAUCCAGUUUAUCUCUACUGUAGUGGAGGCAACCAUGUGAUACUCAGCUUCCAUGGAACAACGAGCAAUGGUUUUUCCCCUUUUAGAGCUCCAAUUGAUGGGAGUAGCAUAAGGAACAAAACAUAGGCAAAAGAGAUCGAAGGUGUGAUCAUUGACAUCACUUGUCAAGUUCUUGUAGACGCAUGAAGAUUAAUAAAGUAGGUUCAUCUAAUGAGGAUCCCAUGGUACAAAGUUCUUUUCAAGUAGCGAAGAACACGUUGCAAUGAUGUCUAAUGAGUCAAGGAUUGGAUAAUUUGUUAACAACGAAGGAGAUGUUAAGUGAGUUAGAAAAAAAAUACUUCUUCAUUUUCAAGCAUGUUCAUCUUCUCAGGUAGGUCACUAAUAUAUUUAUGUUGGGAGAAGAACAAAUCAUCCUAAGUGAAAGCAUUUUCAACACCGAGAAAAUAGCUUAGUGGGCCAAGAUAUAAAACUUUUAUGCUAAGACACCAAUGAAGUGAGUGAGAAAUGUAAUCGAGGUACUUAUGAUAAAUAUGUCGUCAAUAUAAACAAGAAAGAAAAGUGUGAGUUUCUCAUGGUUACCGAUAAAUAGUUGCGAGGGGCUUCCUUCCACGUGUCCUUCCCAAAAUCAAAACUCUUUAAUUGAUCAGGGCAAACAUAAAACUUGUAUGGGAUCACUCCGUCUGGACCAAGAUAAGCUCUAUCUAGCAUCAAACAGAAUGAACAGACCAAGUCGGUUGACAUUUCAAACGGACUUACAAUGUCAGACGGAAUGGACAAACCAAGUCGGUUGGACUUGUCAGACGGACAAAUCAAUCCAGUUAAGUCCACAAGAUUUCUGGCAUGUAUGGUCAACCACGCCUGAUGUCUGAGUGUUGACCUAAACGUCUGAUGUUUGAGUGCCAGAGUAGAUGUUUGAUGUCUGAGUGACGGCCUAGACGCCUAACAUCUAAGCGACGGACUAGACGUUUAACGUCUAAGCGACGAAAUAGACGUCAUUUACACCCAAAAGUCAAUAUCAAUUAAUUGUUAUAUACAAUCCCAAAUAUUGGCAAGUUAAAUGGACAAUCAACUACAUGGUUCAAGAUUUUGACACGAUAGUCAGCAAAUGGCACCAGUUAGCAGCCCUUACUUGAUGUGAUUGCCUAGUCCAUGUAAUAGUGACAACAUUGACUGUCCUAUCAAGGUUUGAUUUUUGUCGGGUAAUUAUCAUUACAAGAAAGGCAAAAGUGCAUAAUCAACGUUAUAAUGACGGUGUCAUCAAUUUUAUAUAAACCCCUCAAGAAGCACAAACAAAGUACACACACUCAUUCUCUCCCACAAAAAAUAAUUAGAGCUAUCCUCGUUGAUUUCUGACUUAAGCUUCGGAGGGACGUGCCGGAUCACCUGUCCGGACAUCUUUUUGCACAGGGAAGAAGUCCGUCUGACUCUAGUGAAGUUGGAUGGACAUGAAUUCAGUUCACUCGACACCAACAAUAGUGACAAGUCAGACUUGGAAUUCAUGAAGCCAUGGGACACAAGGAAUCCUUGAAGUUCAUUAUAGCAUACCCUUAUACUUGGACGGUCAGCAGAUCAUCAAGUUGGGACUGCCUUUCUUCUCUGUCAGCAUCUCAUAUUGUCUUCUUCCCACUAAAAGAUUUUGACGUAAAAAUGAAUAUUGUGCCAUGUUUACCGAUUACGAAGGUGUUCAAUACUCAAAUUAAACAAAGAGAGGAAUGGUAUUUAUAUAGAAUAAAAAGAAAUACAAGGAAUCGUAUUCAUAUAGAACAAAAAGAAAUACAAGGAAUCGUAUUCAUAUAGAAUAAAAAGAAACGCAGAAAACCCCCACAUAGACGAUGAAUUGUUACAAGACCUGACAAAUGAGUCAAACGUCUCAGACAAUAGAAUGUAAUUAUAUGGGAAUUCCUGAAGCCUUCAAAACACAUGUGAAUCCAGCUUGUCUCCCAGGACUAAGGUGUGGCGGGGCCACUCUAAGGUCUGGUGGGGGAUGGAGGUGGUGAAAGGAAAGGAACUGUUGGGAUUGUUGUUGGAAUGGUGGGGAAUGAAGGAAUUGAGGUGGGGAUGGCGGGCAGCGGAGGAAGCGUCACCUUUGGAAUUGUGGGCACGGUUGGCAAUGUUGGGUUUGGCAAAGAUGGCAGCGGCGGCAAUGUGAUCUUUGGCAGAGUUGGGGCACUUGGCAGUGUCGGCAAUGGGGUAGUGGGCAGCGCAGGCAUUGCUGGUAAGGGAGGCAAAGUGGGCUUAGGAAGAGAUGGAGUUUGAGGCAGUGUUAGUGCUGGUGGUGGAGCUUUUGGUGUGUCCAAAAGGUGGCGGCCUGCCAGGCUCACAUCCAUGUUCAACAGUGACAAUGCUAAAACCAGAGAUACAAUAAGACAAUGCCUAUCCAUGGUUUAAAAAGAUAAAGGUGUAUGGAGCUAGCUUCCCUUGGAUGUGGAUUUCAACUCUGUUCUGGAUGAACAACAACAAAGUAUGGACGGGUGUUUAUAGAGAAGAAUUUGAAGAAGCAAUAUAAGAGAUUGAUGAGAUGUGGUUGAGAGAAAUUUGGAGGAGUGGUGGUUAGUUCACCUCCCCUACUUGUCUUACAGCAAAUUCAAAAUAAAACCAACCAAUUAGGGUUGGCAAACUGACGCAAACCUGAGCUCACUUAUGUAUACUGCUAGAACUGUUCAGCUUGUUGGGUUAUUAUCUUCUAAAAUUUUGACACAUGGAUUGCUUCAUGGUAGGAACUCAUAGAUCAUUCCAAAGCGGCUUGAGGUUUUGAUGAACCACCUGCCCUUCAUUACACGACCAAUCAGUAUAUAUACACGAGAUGUACAGAGAAGUAUGUGAUGUAAAUUUCUUUACUACAGCCUAAAAUCAUGGAUUUAAAAGAAUUACAAUGCAAAUAAUAUCAUUGCACUAUGAAAAAUAUUACAAAGAUACAAAAAAAAAAUAUUAUCAACGUAUAAACAAUGUGACAAAGGUACAAAAAAUAUGAUCAAUGAACGAAUCAUAUAACUAAAGUAUAAAUAAUAUGACUCAAAUACGAAUAUUAUAAAUUAGAAUUAAAGUAUGAAUCAUAUGAUCUAAGUAGAAACAAAAUGAUGAAGAAAAUGAUCCAGAUAUAAAUAAUAUGACCAAGAUACAAAAAAAUAUCAUUGACAUAUGAAUAAUGUGAUUAAUGUGAAUUAGAAUUAUUAUUUUUAUAAACAAAAUAAACUUUUUACUAAAUAACUUCUAAAUUUCUUUUAACACAAUCUCCGACUCAUAAAUUUAUAUUUACAUGAAAUAACAUAAAAUGAAUUAGAACCAUCGUUUUUACAAUUAAACAAGAUAAACUUUUUAUUAAUUUAAAAAAAAAUAUAGUUUUAACAUAAUAUUUGACUUGCAACUUUAUAUUGGCAUGAAAUAAUAAUAAAAAAAAUAUCCUUCUUUAAAAGAGUGUGUUUUUUGUCACCAAAUAGAUCUUCAAUCUCUUCAUCCUUCAUAAAAAACAAUUACAAAAUGUAUAAAAGUAAGAUGUAAAUCUCAAUUACUUUGGUUGUUUAUUUAUAUUUAAAUUUUAACCUCGUUUAGAUAAUUCAUUCUUAAAUAUGAAAAUGGAUUGGUUGUUAUAAACUUUUUAUUUAUUUAUUAAUGUUAAGUAAAUUACAUUAAAUUAUAAUUAUUAACCAUGAAAAAAAAUUGUACAAAAGAUACCAUUAUCAUCAUACAUGAGAUUCUUACCGAUACAAGUUGUUGUUAUUGAUUGAUAACUCUGGAUGGAUUUUUUAAUAAUUAUUUUAUUGUAAUUGCUUUACAAAUCCCAACAUAUCAUUUGAUAAUAUUUAGAGAUGAGGCAUUGAAAAGUUUAUUUACGCGCCUUAAUGUGACACUAAAAGAGUAUUUGUUGAGACUUAUAUGAAAGACGAAGCUGAUGAUCAAGGAGUUAAAUAUGAUGUAGACGAGGAAGAUGAAAAUGAAAUUAAGGUUUAAUCAAGUUUGAUCAGGAUUAUUAGAUUAGUACACACUUAAGACGGUCAGCAGACCAAGUUGGGACUGCCUUUCUUCUCUGUCUGCAUCUCAUAUUGUCUUCUUCCCAAUUCAAAGAUUUUGACGUAAAAAUGAAUAUGUGUCAUGUUUACUGCUUGAGAAAGUGUUCAAUAAUCAAAUUAAAAAAUAAAAAGAGAGGGAUCGUAUUCAUGUAAAACAAAAAAGAAACACAAGGAAUCGUACUCGUAUAGGGAGAAAAAGAAAAACAAACAUAGAGAAAGACACAUAAAGAGCCCUCACAGGGACCAUGAAUUGUUACAGGACAAGACCUGACAUAUAAAUCAACCUCUCAUACAAUAAACGAACCCAGCUAGUCUCCCUCGGCUAAGGUGUGGCAGGGCCCACUCAAGGGCUGGUGGUGGUGGUGGAUGGAGGUGGUGUAAGGAAAUUAAAUGUUGGAAUGUUGGGGAAUAUUGAAGAGAUUGAGGUGGGGAUGGAGGUGGGGAAGGAGGGCAGCGGAGGAAGCGCCAGCUUUGGAAUUGUGGGGAUGGUUGGCAAUGUUGGGUUUGUCAGAGAUGGCAUCGGCGGCAAUGUGGGCUUUGGCAGAGUUGGGACAUUUGGUUGUGUUGGCAAUGGGGUAGUGGGCAGCGCAGGCGUUGCUGGCAACGGAGGCAAUGUGGGCUUAGGAAGAGAUGGAAUUUGAGGUAGUGUUGGUGGUGAUGGAGCGGCUGGUGUGUCCAGAAGGUGGCGACCUGCCAGGCUCACAUCCAUGCUCAACAGCGACAAUGUUAAAACCAGAGAAAUAGUGAUAAAUUGCGUAGCCAUGGUUUGAAAGGAUGAAGGUGUAUUAUAGAGCUAGCUUUCUUUGGAUGUGGGCAAAUUUCAACUCUGUUCUGGAUGUACAACAGCAAAGUAUGGACGAGUAUUUAUAGAGAAGAUUUUGAAGAAGCAAUAUGAGAGUCGAUGAAAUGUGGUUGAGAAAAUUUUGGGCAUGUGGUGGUUAGUUCACCACCCCUACUUGUCUUCACACCAAAUUCAAAAAAAAAAAAGGGCCAACCAAAGGGUUGGCAAACUGACGCGCACCUG